AACAAAAUAAACGAAAAACAAAUAUGUAACACAUAAACAAACGACAACAACUGAAUUACAGGCUCCUGACUUGGGACAGGCACAUACAUAAAUAAUGUGGCGGGGUUUAACAUGUUAGCGUGAUCCCAACCCUCCCCUAACCUGGGACAGUGGUAUAACAGUACAACAUAAGAACGAACUAUAAAAAUCAGUUGAAAAAGGCUUAACUCAUCAGAUGGAC
rnacentral:lncRNA from 1 species